GCUACGGUGGGCAGCAGUGAGGAAUAUUGGUCAAUGGGCGCGAGCCUGAACCAGCCAAGUCGCGUGAGGGAUGAAGGUUCUAUGGAUCGUAAACCUCUUUUAUAAGGGAAUAAAGUGUGGGACGUGUCCUAUUUUGUAUGUACCUUAUGAAUAAGGAUCGGCUAACUCCGUGCCAGCAGCCGCGGUAAUACGGAGGAUCCGAGCGUUAUCCGGAUUUAUUGGGUUUAAAAGGUGCGUUGGCGGCCUUUUAAGUAAGCGGUGAAAGUCUGGGGAUCAACCAUAGAAUUGACGUUGAAACUGGGGGGCUUGAGUUUGUUUGAGGAAGGCGGAAUGCGUGGUGUAGCGGUGAAAUGCUUAGAUAUCACGCAGAACCCCGAUUGCGAAGGCAGCCUGCCAAGCCAUGACUGACGCUGAUGCACGAAAGCGUGGGGAUCAAACAGGAUUAGAUACCCCAGUAGUC
rnacentral:rRNA from 1 species